GCCACUUCAUAUGCAUCUCAUGACAACAGUCAGCAGAGCUGAUCCGAUACAGAGCAGCCCGGCGUCCGUCCGUCCGGCAUCAUUCAGCUUUUUGCUUCUGUCAGCGCCCACUACGUUCCUACUGUGUGCAACGGGAGAGAAAUUGUA